UCCCUGGUGGCUCAGAUGGUAAAGUGCCUGCCUAUAAUGCGGGAGACCUGGGUUCAAUCCCUGGGUUGGGAA
rnacentral:tRNA from 1 species